rnacentral:rRNA from 1 species
UGCCAGCCGCCGCGGUAAUACGGAGGGGGCUAGUGUUGUUCGGAAUUACUGGGCGUAAAGCGCGCGUAGGCGGCGCAUCGAGUUAGGCGUGAAAGGCCUGGGCUUAACCUGGGAACUGCGCUUAAUACUGGUGUGCUAGAGUCCGGAAGGGGGUGGCGGAAUUCCCAGUGUAGAGGUGAAAUUCGUAGAUAUUGGGAAGAACACCGGUGGCGAAGGCGGCCACCUGGUCCGGAACUGACGCUGAGGUGCGAAAGAGGGGGGAGCAAAAAGGAUUAGAUA